rnacentral:rRNA from 1 species
UACGUAGGGUGCAAGCGUUGUCCGGAAUUAUUGGGCGUAAAGAGCUCGUAGGCGGUUUGUCGCGUCUGCUGUGAAAACUGGAGGCUCAACCUCCAGCCUGCAGUGGGUACGGGCAGACUAGAGUGCGGUAGGGGAGAUUGGAAUUCCUGGUGUAGCGGUGGAAUGCGCAGAUAUCAGGAGGAACACCGAUGGCGAAGGCAGAUCUCUGGGCCGUAACUGACGCUGAGGCGCGAAAGCGUGGGGAGCAAACAGG